UUUUUUUUCGCUAAAAAAAAUUAAAACUUGUACCUCUACUUGAAUUAAUUGAACUGGAUUAGUCCACAAAAACUUCUAUUAGAACUAUAAGUUCCUAACUCCAUUUAGUCUGAUACAAUAAAGAUUUCGAAAAAGAACUACUAAUCCUUAACUUUUCGAGGAAUCCUUCAUCAGUGGUUGUGAAUGACUGACUUUUUCAAUCCUUUCGACCUUGGUUCCGUAGGAGCAAGUCAGAAAGGUUGAGAAAUAGAACCAUCUGAUUUGAUUCGUUCCCAAUAGCCAUGAGAUGAUCAUCUUAGGGUGAUCCUUUUGGGCUGUCUAUUCUCUAAUUCACCCGAUCCGAUAGUACCCGUUUUUGGAACGUCCAGUGCCAAAGUCACUGAAUGGGUAAGUCACCAAUCCAAUCCCUUUGACAAAUCGGGUGUCAUAUUAGAUAUCAUAUUCUAUAUAUAUAGAAAUAUCAUAGAAUAGACAUAUAGAAUUUUUGGUUGGGAAAUUCGAAUGAAUCAUUGAGUGAAAAAGGAGCAAAGAAUGACAAAAGAUGAGACUCUACUAGUCUUCACUCUUGUGGUUUCCUCGGAUCCCGAGCCGGUCUUAUCUUGGCUCGCAAACCCAAGUUUGUCUAUGAAGAGCUAAUCUAAUUGUAUUAGUUUCUAUAAUGGAUUUCUUAUGUGGAAUACUAAUGGAUAGGGCCUCGUUGCUAAGUGCUACAAGAUCUAGUGCACUGGAACUCGUGGUUAUGGACCCGAAUCCUUUAGUAUGGAACAUUGUCUUUUCCAAGUAAAAACCCCUAGUAUAUGAAAGAAUGAAAAGGUGCUUUCGUUCUUGUGGAAUAAGAAGCCCUCGUACCUUAAUGAAAGGAAAAUAGGAAUUUUUCGUUAGGUAUUUGACCAAAUAGGAUCGUCCAGUUCCUAUAGAACCUAUCACUAAAAUACCCGAUAGGGCUAAGCGGAACGAAAAGGGUUUUCCAUGAGAUGGUAAAUGAAAACGAUUAGCCCCACACGAGGUUUGGGAAUAAGUGAUUGUCUGAUAAUGAGCAAGGAAUAUACGUCUUUCUGCUAAAGAGGAUCUAUUAAACUCAUAAUUCAUUAGAUCCUUGUUAGCAAUGUCAACUAGGUAUCAUAAGUAAAUGGAUCUCGGUUGUUCAAUCCUUUGAUAACCAAGGUCAUUCUUUGCUAAAGAGAAAUGAUCACUAUGGGUCAGACUCAAUAGAAUUGGAUCCAUUCCAAAUAGCGAGAAUUAGGAUUCUUGAUCCCUCUCAAUCUCUCUUUCAAUUCGAGGAUCCAGAGAGGUUUUUUCAUAGUCAUCUCCGAAUAUUUGCCAUCUCCGAAUAUUUUCGAUUUCAUUUUUCUAUGAUAUGUCUUUCUAUAUGAAAAUUGGUUAUUUACGAUGUACGAUGAUCCCUGUUAAGCAUCCAUGGCUGAAUGGUUAAAGCGCCCAACUCAUAAUUGGUAAAUUUGCGGGUUCAAUUCCUGCUGGAUGCACGCGAACGGGAACGGUCUAUUGGAACUGGCUCUCUAUCCAUGGAAUCUCAUCCAUCAUCCAUACAUAACGAAUUGGUAUGGUAUAUUCAUACCAUAACAUAAGAACAAUAAGAACUCGAAUUCUUAUCGAUACUGGAACUCAGAGCAUAGGAGGGAAAGUCGAUUUAUGGAUGGAAUCAAAUACGCAGUAUUUACAGAAAAGAGUCUUCGUUUAUUGGGAAAGAAUCAAUAUACUUUUAAUGUCGAAUCGGGAUUCACUAAGACAGAAAUAAAGCAUUGGGUCGAACUCUUCUUUGGUGUUAAGGUAGUAGCUGUGAAUAGCCAUCUGUUGACACCGUUUUUGGGCGCGUGUCUAGGAUGGCAGGAUAAGGUGGCAGUACGAUGUUUACAAAGCGGGUUGCCGAUGAGGAUGGUGGCCGAUGAGGGAGAAGUUGAAUGUGACUAAGUCCACAGGCAGUAAUAUGGUGCCGAUGGCUAGAUAAGAAAGUCUGCCGAUGACUAUGGCAAAGGAUCUGCCGAUGAUGCAAAGGAGGAGUCUGGAAGCUGCCGGUCGUUAUGUGGAGGAGUUUCGGUUUGUCACGAGGGAUAGUUUUGUUAUUUCCUUAAUUAUUUGCAUUGUUUUGUAUACGGAUUCCGUGUAAUUUGGAGUUCGAAUUCUAAUCGUGUCUGGUUGUAGCUCUUUGAGCAGGGUAUAAAUAUAGACCCUAGGGCCUUGUAAUAAUCAAUCAAGAAAUCAAUCAAACACACGUUUUUACUCAUAUUCCAGCAUUUACUUUUCGACGACUUCAUCAUACUUUUUCCUUUUGUUACGAGUUCUUAGGAAUUCGUCGACUUAAGCUCAGCGUGUUCUCAAGUUCCGCGUGAGUACCUCUUAGCCGUGACAUCCGGGCGCAUCGCUGUUGUCAGGACUAAAGUAUUCGAGUUAUCACCUUUGCCGAUAGCAAGGUCAAAUCGGCUGGCACGCCUUAACGUUUGAAUCGGGUAUUAGCCCUUUGUGUUUGCAGAUCAGUUUUGCAUCAACACAUCUUUUGGCACGCUCGGUGGGACAAGAUUCAAGACCAAGAUCAACAUGUCGAUCUCUGACCUCGAUCAAGAGAACGUCAUCCCCGUGACGGAGGCCAACCUCAAGGAUGAGCAGAAGCAAGCUAUUGCCCAAGCCAUGGAAGAGUUCAAGCAGCAAUGCCUGAGGUCUUUCAGCAUAAACAGGAGCGGCGAAGUGGUCCAGAAAGAUGCACUGCCGGCACCACGGCAGGUUACCUUUGACGCCAAUCCUGGCAAGCUUCAAGAUAUGGUUGACAAUGCCAUCAAUCGAGCGUUGAUUAACCAAGCUGGUGUACUGUCUAAUACGGUUUUCAAUGCCGUGGCAAGAACUUUCAAGGAAGGACAAAUCCCACCAGAUUAUGUGGGCCCCUCCCAUCAUCAGCCAACGGCACCAGAGGUCACGGCUCCAUCGGCUGCCUUGACGAAUGCAAGUGCACAAUCUGCCGUCCCUCCAAGUACAUCGGGGACUACUGGUGCACUAUCUAUGCCGAUGGCAACCAACCCACAAAUUUCAGUUGGGCAGCAUAAACUGACAACAGAUAUGUUGGCAUCGGCAAUGUCAGGGUUGACUCUUCCUCCCAACUGGUGGGGUUACGGUAUGCCUCCAGAGUUGACGCCGGGAACAUCACAAAUAACUGACAUGAGCCUAUGACAUCGGCACCUCCCAAUGUGCCGGUGAACCAGAGUCCUCGGUAUACCACAACUACUACUGCAAGGCCUCACACUGGAAAUCCUCAAGAUUCAAUGUUCCAGAUGCCCAACGCAUCGGCAGAGUCAAUGCUGAUGCAACAGAGGCCUAUGGCCCAGUCGGGGUAUGUCAAUUCAACGACGGUACCCAAUUACCAAUCAUCGGCAGCACCUAUGCCGAUGAACGCUAAUAAUGGAUGGCUUGGACAACAAGCCUUUCCACAAUCGCCCCAACAGAGUUACCAGACUACAGGGUUCCAGCAAGGUCAGGUCUAUCCCGGGUUCCAAGGUCAGGGGAUUCCCAACCAGCCAAUGAAUUUUGGACAGCAACUCGGAGGACAACCAAUCGGUGGACAGCAGUUUGGUGGUCCGCAGAUUGGAGGACAGGUGAUCAAUACAAUGUUCCGCGCGGAUCACGUCCCCAACAGACACGUGGAGGUUCGCCACCAAGUACCAGAUCCGCAGCCGCCUCAUCGGCAAGAUGCCGAUGCAUAUUGGGCCGAUAAGAUUGCUAAAGUAAUGAGGGAACAAUUUGGGAUAAAACCCAAAGUCAACACUUAUUCUUAUCGGACACCGUAUCCUCCCGCGUAUGAUUUGAUCCCGCUUCCACAUCGGUACAAGGUACCGGAUUUUACAAAGUUUUCCGGACAGGACGACACGUCAACCAUGGAGCAUGUCAACAGGUUCAUUAUUCAAUGUGGAGAGGCUGGUAACAGGGACGAAUUGAGGGUUCGUCUAUUUUCAUCAUCAUUGUCUGGAUCGGCCUUUACUUGGUUCAUAUCGUUACCUCCCAACUCUGUAAUUACUUGGGCCGAUCUAGAGAAGCAAUUCCAGAAAUACUUCUUCUCGGGGGUUCAUGAGAAGAAGAUCACCGACUUGGUCAAGUUGAGACAACGUAAUGAUGAGUCGGUUGAGGGAUUUGUGCAGAGGAUACGAGAGGUCAAGAAUAAAUGCUAUAGCCUGGUUCUAGAUGAUCGGCAGCUAGCCGAUUUGGCUUUCCAGGGUUUGUUGCCACAUAUCAGGGAUAAGUAUGCCUCUCAGGAGUUCGAAAGUUUAAGUCAUUUGGUGCAGAGGAUUUCUGAUCAAGACAUCAAGCCUUUUGAGCCUAAGAGAGCAUGGAAUAAGAAAGUGUCAUUUGUCGAUGAAGCAACAAGCUCAGAUUCUGAUGAAGAACCAGUAAUCGGUUUGGCAGAGUGGGUAAAAAACAAGAAGCCGAUGUCUUGUCCUUUUGGGCAGAAGGAACCGGAGAAGUUUGCUUUUGACACCGCUAAGGCUGAUAGGAUAUUUGACUUUCUACUUCAGGAAGGUCAGAUCAAACUGUCACCUAACCAUGUGAUCCCAUCGGCAGAAGAGUUGAAGAGGAUGAGAUAUUGCAAGUGGCAUAAUGCAACUUCCCAUGACACCAACGAGUGCAAAGUAUUCAGACAGUAGCUGCAAUCGGCUAUAGAGUCAGGGAGAAUCAAGUUUGACAGUUCCAAGGCCCAGAAGCCGAUGAAGAUAGACCAACAUCCUUUCCCGACAAACAUGUUGGAUGCUAAGGGGAAGGCUAAGGUCUUAACAUCAGAGACAGCUGAGAAGAGUGCAUCGGUAGAUCCUCAGCAUCAAGUUACUACUGCCGAUGCAAGAAGUAAGGGCUUGGUCCAGGAAGGAACUAGCUCAGGAAGGCUUCCUCGAUCUGGUAUCGUCAUAACUCAUAGAAGGCCUCGAGAAAAAUGGCAACAACGGGAAGAUCGGUAUCGGCGCCAGCAGGAAGAUUAUCGACGGGAAGAAGAAAGACGCCGACAGGAGUGGAAUCGGCACAGGGAAAAGGAGAUUGCAACGUGAAAGGCAAGAAGAGCUAAACAAGGGAGAGAACUCUGGAAGUCGACAGCCGUCAGACACUAAGAGGGAAGGUCCAUCGGCAGGCGUCAACAUGGUCUUCAUGUUGCCGAUGGAGUUUCUUGCACCAGCCAGUGAUGAUGAGUUGGAAUUUUCUGAUCAGAUAGCUCAGUUGGCUCUGGAUCCGAUGACGGCUAUCUUUGAGAAACCGGCCGAUGACGAGAGGCAGCAUCUUAAAGCUCUGUUCCUCAAAGGAAGGGUUGAUGGGCAGCCAAUGACCAAGAUCCUAGUUGAUGGUGGAGCUGCUAUUAAUAUUAUGCCAUAUGCAGUAUAUCGGAAGCUUGGGAAAGGGGAUCAAGAUUUGACCAAGACCGAUAUGAUGCUCAAAGACUUUGAAGGAAACGUGUCUCCAGUCAAGGGGGCGAUAUGUGCAGAGUUGACCAUCGGCAGCAAAACCUUGCCGACAACUUUUUUCGUGAUCAGCGGAAAAGGUGCUUACAACUUAUUAUUGGGAAGAGAUUGGAUUCAUGCCAAUUGUUGUAUCCCAUCUACAAUGCAUCAAUGCUUGGUUCAGUGGGUAGGUGACAAGAUUGAGAUUGUCCCAGGAGAUUCUUCUUAUGUUAUCGCAUCGGCAGAAGCGGAUACUUACGAAAGGACCAGGUGCAUUUCAGGAGAAGUUUGGGAGAAAGAUUUUCUCAAAGUUGCCGAUUAUGAGAUUCCACCGAUCCAAGCAGUCGGUUCUGACGACGGUUUUUAAUGGAUAGAUUCGCCGAUGAUGGAAAAUUAGGCCAGGGAUUCACAUCGGCCGAUGAUUUGGUAGAAAUAGAUAUAGGUAGUGGUGAUAAGCCUAGGCCUACUUUUAUUAGUGCUAAGUUAGAUCCUGAGAGUAAGCAACAAUUGACUAGUUUGUUAAAGGAAUAUAAAGAUUGCUUUGCUUGGGAUUAUACCGAGAUGCCUGGUUUAGACCGAUCAAUUGUUGAACAUCGGUUACCCAUCAAGUCUGGAUUUCGGCCACAUCAGCAACCAGCCCGCCGAUGCAAUGCUAACAUUCUACCUGAUAUUAAGGCCGAAAUCACCAAACUUAUUGAAGCCAAGUUUAUUCGGCAGUGUCGGUAUGCCGAGUGGAUUUCCAAUGUUGUUCCGGUUUACAAGAAGAACGGGAAGCUUCGGGUGUGCAUUGAUUUCAGGAAUCUCAACAAAGCUACGCCGAUGGAUGGAUACCCAAUGCCUGUCGCCGAUCUACUGGUUGAUGCUGCGGCUGGUCAUCAGGUCAUCAGCUUCAUGGAUGGUAAUGCAGGUUACAAUCAAAUAUUCAUGGCGGAGGAAGAUAUUCCAAAGACCGCAUUCAGGUGUCCCGGUCAUGUUGGGCUGUUUGAAUGGAUAGUCAUGACUUUUGGGUUGAAGAAUGCUGGUGCUGCUUAUCAAAGGGCUAUGAAUUUUAUAUUUCAUGAGUUCAUUGGCAAGCUCGUAGAGAUUUAUAUUGAUGAUGUGGUGGUUAAGUCUGGAGAUUUCUCAAAGCAUCUUGCCGAUUUACAAAAAGUGUUAGAGUGCACAAGGAAGCAUGGAUUGAAGAUGAAUCCCAACAAGUGUGCAUUUGGUGUAUCGGCAGGGCAGUUUCUUGGUUUCAUGGUACAUCAGAGGGGUAUGGAAAUUAGUCGAAGAUCUAUUGAUGCCAUCAAUAAAAUAGUGGCCCCUACCAACAAACCGAGCUCCAAUCCUUGAUCGGCAAGGUAAAUUUUAUCAGAAGAUUUAUAUCGAAUUUGUCUGGUAGGAUUCGUGCUUUCAGUCCUCUUCUUAAAUUGAAAGCCGAUCAAGAGUUUAUUUGGGGAGAAGAACAGCAGUUGGCUCUGGAUGAAAUCAAGAAGUAUCUAGUAAAUCCUCUAGUUCUAGUUCCACCUCAACAAGGGAAGCCCUUCAGAUUGUAUUUAUCUACCGAUGGAUCGGUUAUCGGUUCAGCUUUAGUUCAAGAAUUUGAAGGGAAAGAAAGGGUAAUUUAUUAUUUGAGUAGGAGGUUGAUUGAUGCUGAAACCAGGUAUUCGGCCAUUGAGAAACUAUGCUUAUGCUUAUAUUUUUCAUGUAUCAAGCUGAGACAUUACCUGUUAUCGGCCGAAUGCACUGUUGUUUGCAAAGAUGACGUGGUCCGAUACAUGCUAUCUAUGCCGAUUAUGAGUGGUAGGAUCGGUAAAUGGAUUUUAGCGCUAUCGGAGUUCGAUUUGCGUUACGAAUCGGCUAAGGCAGUCAAAGGGCAGAUUAUGGCCGAUUUUGUGACUCAGCAUUGCGGUCUAGUGGAAACCUUGGAAAUUGUACCCUGGACGCUCUUCUUUGAUGGAUCUACCUGUGACCGGGGGGCAGGAAUCGACAUUGUAUUAGUCUCCCCUAAGGGGAGAAAGUAUGAGUUUUCCUUGCCGAUUGUUGCCACAUCAACAAAUAAUCAGGCUGAGUAUCAAGCUCUGAUCAAGGGAUUGGAGUUGUUAAGAGAAGUUCGUGCUGAUGCUGUUGAAAUAUUCGGGGAUUCUAUGUUGGUUAUAAAUCAAUUGGCCGGAAGCUAUGAAUGCCGAAGUGAAGUUCUCAUAACUUAUUUCGAGAGAAGUAUGCAACUGUUAAAGGAAUUCAAGGAUUUCCGAUUGGAGCAUGUUCCCCGAUUGCAUAAUGAAGACGCUAAUCGGUUAGCUCAGCAUGCCUCGGGAUAUCAGCCAAUGAUUAAUGCGACAUCGGCAGUCGGUGCCGGUGAUUGGAGGAAAGAAAUUAUUGAUUAUCUAAAAGAUCCAUCCAAAAAAGUUGAAAGACGGGUUCGAUUUCAAGCAACCAAGUAUGUGCUCCUUGAAAAUGAAUUGUAUUAUCGAACUAUCGACGGAAUUCUUCUCCGAUGCUUGGGUGAUGAUGAAGCUAGAAGUUUGAUGGGGGAAAUCCAUGAAGGAGUGUGUGGAGCGCAUCAGUCAGCUUUUAAGAUGAAGUGGAUGAUUCGAAGGAAUGGAUAUUUUUGGCCAACCAUACUUGAAGAUUGUUUUAAAUAUUUCAAGGGAUGUCAAGGUUGUCAAAAGUUUGGUAAUAUCCAGAGAGCACCCGCAUCGGCUAUGAAUCCUAUAAUAAAGCCUUGGCCGUUCCGGGGAUGGGCCAUCAAUCUGAUCGGCCAGAUUUAUCCACCAUCUAGCAAAGGGCAUAAGUUCAUUCUAGUUGCCACUGACUAUUUCACUAAGUGGGUUGAAGCUAUUCCUUUGAAGAAAGUCACAUCGGCCAAUAUGAUUGAUUUUGUGAAGGAGCAUAUUAUUUACUGAUUUGGGAUUCCCCAAACGAUUACUACCGAUCAGGGCACCAUGUUCACAUCGGGGGGGUUCGAUGAAUUCGCAAUCGGUAUGGGAAUUAAAGUGUUGAAUUCUUCUCCUUAUUAUGCUCAAGCCAAUGGGCAGGCCGAAGCGUCUAACAAAGGAAUUAUCAAGCUUAUUAAACGAAAGAUUGAAGAAAAUCCUAAGCGGUGGCAUACAUUAUUAAAUGAAGCAUUGUGGUCUUAUCGGAUGGCUUGUCAUGGAUCGACCAAGGUAUCACCCUAUCAAUUGGUGUAUGGACAUGAUGCAGUGUUGCCUUGGGAAAUUAAGGCUGGAUCUAGGCGAUUAUCUUUUCAAGAUCAAUUAACUUCCGAUGGUUAUGCCACUUUGAUGACCGAUGAAUUGGACGAUCUAGCAGGGCAUCGGUUAAAAGCUUUAAUGAGUAUAGAAGAAAAUAAGAAGAGAGUUGCUAGAUGGUAUGAUAAGAAAGUGAAGGCUAAAGAGUUUGCCGAUGGGGAUUUGGUAUGGAAAUUAAUUUUACCAAUUGGGACCAAAAGUUCGAAGUUUGGAAAGUGGUCUCCUAAUUGGGAGGGUCCUUAUCGGAUAAGUCGAUCGGUUCCUGGUAAUGCCUACAUUCUAGAAACCCUCGAAGGAAUUGAAUUUCCCAGAGCAUUAAACGGCAAAUAUUUAAAGAAGUACUACCCCAGUAUAUGGGUCGAUGCAUAGAAGUUUAGGUGCCGAUAACACUCCUAUCGGCUGGAUCCAAAUGCUUGGGGACAAGACUUGGUGUUUCAAAAGUUUAGGCGCCGAUAACAGUCCUAUCGGCUAGACUAAAAGCUGAGGAAGCAGGAAAGCGCAGAUACAAUGCCGAUGGAAACUCUAUGUGUUAAGCAGCGUCUGGAUUGCCGAUAUAGCGCGUAGCCGAAUUUGGUUGGCUGCUUCUAUCUCUUUGAUGUCAUCAUCGGCAGAACCUUCUAUCGGCUUCAGCUUCUUCUUCAGUUGGAGUGCUUUGCGACCAUGAGCAUUUCGCUCGCGCUCAAGAAGCCUGAUGGUCUCUGGCAAUUGGCUCUCUUCCUGUUGGGCUUGGGACAGAGCAUUCUCUACUUCCUUGAGCUCCGCCAACAGGGACUCUUUUCUUGCCGAUAGAUCGGAUAUCUUCUGCUUCAGCGCGUCUCCAGAAGAUCUCAGGAUACCGAUGUUCUUGUGCUUCUCAUCGGUCAAAAGCUUCUCUUUCCUCAUUUCAUCAGAGAGUUGAGUCUGAGCGGCUCUAUCGGCAAGCCGCCGAGAAGCUCUUUGGUACUGCAGCUGGCGACUCUCCAGAUGAGCGGCUUGGAACAGGAUUUCUUCAACAUCGGCUGGGAUUUGGCCUCUGAGAGUUCUGAACAGGGUCUUGGUAGGGUCGGAAUCAUCAACCAAUUGCGCUGUGUCCUGGUGAAGAAGAGCUGACGAUUCUUCCAGCCUGACCCUGACCUCUGCCGAUGUGAUGCCGACCGUCUGAGAAGUGCUUGCUUCUUCACCUUCUUCUUCAGAGAGAUCAAUGGCGAAGGAGAACAGGCUAUCAGGAGAAUCUUGUUCCUGGGAGGGAAAGCAAAAUUAGCUCAUACUUAGAGAAUCGACAAAUAGUGCUAACGGUAAACGGUGACUUACUUGCUUCAAGGCGAUCUCUUGUCCUUGACUGAGAAGUGCUGACGGAGCUGCAGGCUGAUCGGCCAAAGAUGCCGAUGGAGCUACAGGUUGAUCGGCUGAGAUUGCCGAUGGAACGAUAUCAACUGAAAGAAGACAAAAGGAGUUAUGAGGCUAGAUAAGAAUAAGUUCAUCGGUAGCGAUAUUGUUAAAGUAUGUUACCUGGAGGAGGGACAACGGUUGUCUGAAUCGGGAGAACUGCCGAUGGUAUAACUGGACCCACCGGGCCAGUUGUUUGUUCGCCCAUGUCAGCUGAUGUAUCUUCUGUUUGAGAUCCUUCCUGUUGGGGUUCUUCUAUCUGUGGUGCUUCCUGCAUAGGUGGGGGAGAUGGUGCUUGCUAUGGUUGGGCUUCUGGAGAAGAAGGAGAAGACUCCACCGGAAUUGGAGAUACCGGAGGAGGAGGGGGAGUUGCUACCUUCUGGCGCUUUGUUCCAGUCUUAGCACCCAUGGUGCCCUUUCUCUUGGGUUGGCUAGACUGGGGGGCAUCGGUACUCUCACACCUGGCUUUCGCCGAUGCGCCGGUUUGCUGCAAUAAUGAACAAGAGUUUAUAAGCAUAAAUAUAGCCGAUAUAAAGAUAGUCAGCAUAAAGGAAAAGAUUUGACAGAUUGCCUUGAAAGCCCGCGCAAGAGUGGGAGCAGCAACCGUUGGUGAUGUCUGAGUUCUUCUGGUGGUGACUUUCCUGAGGCGUACACCCCGAUGCACGAUGGAAGCUAGAGUGGGAGCAUUGUGGCCGAUUGAGGAAAUCGGGCCUGAUGGAAACAAGUCGAUCGGCCUGCCACUCCUGCUAACCAAUGGAGGAAUAUUGUCAACCUGCAAAAGGAAUACAAGGGUAAGCUGCCGAUGGGGGUAAUAUCGAGAAAAUGAAACGUUGGUUUGAGUUACUCACAGCGUCAUCGGGAACUUCGUAUUCGGAGUCAAUCAUGCCGCGGUAUGAAAGUGCCGAUUUGCAGAAUAGAUGCUCUUUCCAUUCUGCCCACCAUAACUUGUAUGCCUGAGUGAUAAAAGCAGCCGGAACCCAUUCUGACAGAUUUACAUCUAUAUCAGCGUUUGGUGGUAGUUGGGCUGCUCGAGUCCACUCAAGAAGGUUGUUGAUAGUUUCUCUGGGUUUUAUCACAUCGGCAUAAGGAAGUGCAAUCGGCAACUGGCCGAAAGCUAACUGGCGAGCUAAUGCCGAUGGAUUGUAAAAUUCGUAAGUUUGAGGGGAGGUUUUUGUGCUACCAAAGAAAUUCACUGGAAUGAUUCUGGGAGUCACAAUUGCCAUCAUCACCUCAUUGUCCCUGUCAAGAGCUUCAUCAAAUGGAUUGAAGGUCAGAGGGAGCAUGCUAUCUGGGUCAUCAUAAGCCAACCAUGGUCGUUCGUCUCUGGUCAAACCCUCAUACAGAGUCUGGAAGAAUCGGCCGAUCUGAUCUGGAUUACCCCCUGAACCAGGCAGAACUAUGACAGCUUCGCCGAAGUUCAAGGGGGUGCGUGUUGCCGAUUCCUCUUCACCCAAUACAUGGUUUUCAGCUAUAUCUCUUGGGAAACGCUGUGUGAACAGGUUGAAGUUGAGACGCUUGUGCAGAUGCAGAUUGAGCCACAUGUUGACAAACCACCAGGGGCCUCCCAAGUUGCCAAUGGAUUGGCCGAGCAGAAGUUUCUAGGCUACUUGAUGGAGAAGGUGGUAAGCAGCGCCAAGCAAGUAUCGGCCGAGAGGGAAUCGGCCACCGUUAGCCAGUCUUUCUGCUGCCGAUAGGUAGACAGAAGUUGGUCCUGCCGAUCGACCACAGAAUACAAACUUGUCCAGCCACAUAUUCAGAAAGGUGGUUUGUUCCUUUAUGGUGACAGAUCCUUUCCCACGGUACUUCUGAAUGUACCCCGACCAACCGCCGAUAGCGCGAGUCUCCACUUUGGCACUAGGGGCAGUAUCAAAAAAGUGGGUGCUAUCGGCAGAAGAUAUAUCUAGACCAGUAAGAAUGGCUACAUCGGCAAGAGUAGGAGAAGCAGGGCCGUGGCCAAAGGCAAAAGCAUUGAGGGUGUCUGACCAAAAGUAGGAUGCAGCUAUCAGCAGUGACUCGUUCCUAUGCAUAUCGGUAAUGGACAAUCUAAUGCAUUGGGCUAGAUUCCUUUCACCCCACUGAGCUUCAUUAGAGUUGCUGACCCUCAAGAACCAGUCUUUCCACCCUACAGUUGGGCUGGGCCAAGAGCGGAAGGUGUCCUUCCACAGAUCUAAGGAAAAAUUUUCGGCUCUGAAGGGGAUCCUGUUGGUUUCUGCGUUGAUAAGGUCAGUUGGAUCUGGGUCCCCUAGAGGGCCGAGGCAUUGAAGGUGUGGUUGAUCGGUGGGGAUGACAAUUUUGUUGGACAAUUCCUAGUGAUUUUGGGCGUAAAAAGAAAUACAAAGAGGAAAGAAAAGGAAGAUGUUCAGUAAAAUGAAUUGCGAGUGAACAGGGAUAUGAAGAAAAAUACAGAAGACGGGGUGGAGAUUUGACCUCAGGGACGACGAACCCGACGGCCAUCUUGCUGCGAAGGAAGCGUGUGAAGGCGCCGGAGUUGAUGAAGAGGGGUACUUGUCGGAGACCUUAGGAGUUUUUGGUGGCGCCGCCGCUGGAAAAGUAAAGUUGGGUAGUAGAAUGGUGUGAUGGGGAAGGAGUACCCAAGAAGGAACUAUUUAUAGGACAAGAUGGGCAAGGGCAAAUCCGACUUAUCUCUUUGCCGCAUCCGAGAAAUCCGAGGGUACUCAGGUGGAUAUGGUAACUGUUCGCACGGUAAUCCAGGGAUUGUGCAGGUGAUUUGACGGGAAGCGGUCAUUAUCUGAAGAUAUUUUACUGUGCGAGAUCUCCUGGUCGGUCCAUCGGCGAUAUUCUAUAACGGUCAUAUUGCCGAUGGGCGGAUAGAGGGGAAGUAACCGUUUUUGCGAAUAUCCUGGUCAGAACAUCGGCAGAUCUUUGUAACGGUAUUGUUGCCGAUGUACGACUGAGAAAAAUGCCCGUUUAGGAAGUUGGGGAUUUCGAGGAAUCUGCGGAGGAUUAGGAUCAGAGUUGUCCAGAUUGAGGUUGUCGGUUACCAGAUUAGGAGCAUUAAUUGCGGGAGGAAGCAUCAUUACUGCAGAGAAUUUCGGAGCAUUAAUAGUUUUAUACUCCGAAACUGGGGGGCAUGUGUUGACACCAUUUUUGGGCGCGUGUCUAGGAUGGCAGGAUAAGGUGGCAGUACGAUGUUUACAAAGCGGGUUGCCGAUGAGGAUGGUGGCCGAUGAGGGAGAAGUUGAAUGUGACUAAGUCCACAGGCAGUAAUAUGGUGCCGAUGGCUAGAUAAGAAAGUCUGCCGAUGACUAUGGCAAAGGAUUUGCCGAUGAUGCAAAGGAGGAGUCUGGAAGCUGCCGGUCGUUAUGUGGAGGAGUUUCGGUUUGUCACGAGGGAUAGUUUUGUUAUUUCCUUAAUUAUUUGCAUUGUUUUGUAUACGGAUUCCGUGUAAUUUGGAGUUCGAAUUCUAAUCGUGUCUGGUUGUAGCUCUUUGAGCAGGGUAUAAAUAUAGACCCUAGGGCCUUGUAAUAAUCAAUCAAGAAAUCAAUCAAACACACGUUUUUACUCAUAUUCCAGCAUUUACUUUUCGACGACUUCGUCAUACUUUUUCCUUUUGUUACGAGUUCUUAGGAAUUCGUCGACUUAAGCUCAGCGUGUUCUCAAGUUCCGCGUGAGUACCUCUUAGCCGUGACAUCCGGGCGCAUCGCUGUUGUCAGGACUAAAGUAUUCGAGUUAUCACCUUUGCCGAUAGCAAGGUCAAAUCGGCUGGCACGCCUUAACGUUUGAAUCGGGUAUUAGCCCUUUGUGUUUGCAGAUCAGUUUUGCAUCAACACCAUCGACUACCCGGAAAGGGUAGAAGAAUGGGACCUAUUCUAGGACAUACAAUGCAUUACAGACGUAUGAUCAUUACCCUUCAACCGGGUUAUUCUAUUCCACUUCUAGAUAGAGAAACGAACUAAAGGAGAAUACUUAAUAAUACGGCGAAACAUUUAUACAAAACACCUAUCCCGAGCACACGCAAGGGAACCGUAGACAGGCAAGUGAAAUCCAAUCCACGAAAUAAAUUGAUCCAUGGACGGCACCGUUGUGGUAAAGGUCGUAAUGCCAGAGGAAUCAUUACCGUAACAAUAGGACCUGGGGAUUUCUUGGUUCAUCAUGCUAUUGCUCUAGGUUUGCAUACAACUACAUUGAUUUUAGUAAAGGGUGCUUUAGAUGCACGCGGUUCCAAAUUAAUGCCGGAUAAAAAGGAUUUCGGGUAUAGUUUUCCUUGCGAUGGCCCAGGGCGCGGCGGUACUUGUGAUAUUUCUGCUUGGGACGCGUUUUAUUUGGCUGUUUUCUGGAUGUUAAAUACCAUCGGAUGGUUACUUUUUAUUGGCAUUGGAAACACAUUACAUUAUGGCAGGGCAACGUUUCACAAUUUAAUGAAUCCUCCACUUAUUUGAUGGUCGGGAGGAAGAACCGGUAAUAAGCACAAAACCAUCCAUUCUGGUUCUACAUUUGUUUGAAUAAAAUGUUUCGCCAAUUGCAUGCGUCUAAUCAAAAAAACUUUUCUUAUUCGUCUUUUUCUAUCUUCCCAUUCAUCUCCACUAUACCCCUCGUCUUCUAAUUCCUUCCAUUCUACCAAAGAAUUCUCUAUAAUAAUUCGCAAAUCUAAAUCCGCUAAUUGUUCUCUAAUAGCACCUGCUCCUGUUGCAAUUUCCCGAUUUCGAAAUGUUGCAAAGCCUGGGGUAGAAAAAAAGGGAGAAAUACUGUGGUUACAGGAUGAAAUUUCAUCCUCGAAUAAACCCCGUAAUCGUAAGAAAGUAGGUUUUUUAGCGCUGGGCCUAGCAAAAGAGAAAUCACCAUAUACUAGGCCCUCCAAUUUCUUAAGGGGUUUAUCUAAAAGAUUCGCAAUAUAACUAGGAAGACCUUUCAAAUACCACACAUGAGUCACUGGACAUGCUAGUUUGAUGUAUCCCAUUUGAUAUCUUCGUAUCCGAGAAUCAACAAAUUCUACCCCGCAUUUUUGACAAAAUCUUUCGUCUUCGUUUUCAGCUACGCUCGCUCGAGAGUUUCCACAAGCACAAAUUCCGCUUUUAUGGGUCCAAAGAUUCUUUCGCAAAACAAUCCAUCUUUUUCUGGUUUAUCGGUUUUAUAAUGAAAAGUGGAGGGCCUUGUGACUUCGCCAACGACUUCCCCAUUAGGUAGGAUUUUUUUAGCCCAAGCCUUUAUUUGUUUAGGGGAAACGAGUCCAAUUUGAAGUUGUUUAUGUUUAUAUUGGUCAAUCAUAAAAUAGAAAUAAUAAAAAAAUUUAUAUUUAUUCCGAUCAAACAUCCUCCCUAUUAACCCGGAAGUUCUUCUCAGAUACAAGGAAAUGGUUCAGUUCUAGAGCCAAAGAUCGUAGUUCUCGAACGAGCACUCGAAAAGAUUCUGGCGGAUCCUCGUCAAAUCCAAGUUGGUGAAGAUCAUGAUUUGGGCUGGCAUAGUAGUUAUUACCUUUGCAAUUGCGGUUCGAAUCUAUCCGAUCUUUAUCUUUUUGCUCAAAGAACGAAUAAAACCCCUUGUUGAAGCCCUUUAUGAUAAGCUUCCCUGGAUCUGGGAAGUUUCUCUUUCACGGUAUUGGGAUCGUUUGAUCGAUUUCCUUGAUCGCUACUUAUGGGCGUGCGCUCAAAGGAUACAAACAGGGAUUCACAAACAAAAAGGGGAAUUCGUAGUCACUUUUUCCUGUCGCGUAAAAAAAAGGCUUUACGCGAGAGCAAUAGAGGUUGGGAUACAUCUAUCUCUUCUGAGCAACCUCUUUUGGAUUCUUAAGACCACCCUUGCAGUAGGAUACCGUCUGCUUUAGGUUCUUUAUUAUCUCCUUCGAGGGGUUUUUAGGAUCAUUUGUCAAGUUUGAUCAGUACUAUAAUCCUAAGUAUUUUAUUGAUUAGGCGGCACCCAGAUUUGAACUGGGGGUAAAGGAUUUGCAGUCCCCUGCCUUACCACUUGGCCAUGCCGCCAAAAAAUCCGAUCUAAAAUCGAGAAAAGAGCAAGUAUUCAUCCACAUUUUUUUACUAAUUACUAAAAUUACUAAAACCUUUUUUUCUUUUAUCUUGAAUCUAAUUCUACUUACUUUCUUUUUUCGAAUCUUUUUCAAAAAAUCAAUUUCUGCUUUUUUGGAUCCAGUUUCGCUUAUUCUCCUCGAUGGAUUCUAUCUUAAAACACACAUUGCUAACACUAGAAAACUUCCCGUUUCUUUCUAUUCUAUUGAGAUGACAAAUAAGAAAAAGUCCCGUCGCUGUCUCGGCUGUGCUACCGGAGGCUCUAGGGAAGUCGGAGGAGAGAGCACUCAUCUUGGGGUGGGCUUACUACUUAUAUGCUUUCAGCAGUUAUCCUCUCCACACUUGGCUACCCAGCGUUUACCGUAGGCACGAUAACUGGUACACCCAGAGGUGCGUCCUUCCCGGUCCUCUCGUACUAAGGAAAGGUCCUCUCAAUGCUCUAAUGCCCACACCGGAAUAAUGGACCGAACUGUCUCACGACGUUCUGAUUAUCCGCAAAAAAUUACGGUAGAGCGUGUUAUGAGUGUCUACGCAGUGGACUUGAUUUUACCAAAGAUGAUGAAAACGUAAACUCACAACCAUUUAUGCGCUGGAGAGACCGUUUUGUCUUUUGUGCCGAAGCAAUUUAUAAAGCACAAGCCGAAACCGGUGAAAUCAAGGGGCAUUACUUGAAUGCGACUGCAGGUACAUGCGAAGAAAUGAUUAAGAGAGCUGUAUUUGCAAAGGAAUUAGGGGUUCCUAUUGUAAUGCAUGACUACUUAACAGGAGGAUUCACCGCAAAUACUACUUUGUCUCAUUAUUGCCGCGACAACGGCCUACUUCUUCACAUUCACCGAGCAAUGCAUGCAGUUAUUGAUAGACAGAAAAAUCAUGGUAUGCAUUUCCGUGUAUUAGCUAAAGCAUUGCGUAUGUCGGGGGGAGAUCAUAUCCACUCCGGUACAGUAGUAGGUAAGUUAGAAGGGGAGGAAGGUCGGAAUCAGCAAUUGAUAAAAAAGAAAGGAUAUGGGCUCGCGUGAGUAGAAAACAAAAGAUAUCUAUUUUAGUUCUAUCAUCAGCUAUGGGUUCGAAUCUAAGAGAAAUUUUAGAUAAUGUUUCCUACCCCGAAAUUUUCUUGUCUUUCCCGAAUGCUAAGGAGAAGAAGAGGAUUGAGUCAAAAGAAAAAGCUAUUUUGGAGUUUUAUCAACAAUUUGCUUGUGUAGGUGGGGACCUCUGGGUAAAGCUUUUAGGCAAGGUCUUCCAUUGGCGCUUGACAAAUAAUGUAAUACGUAACCUGAUUGUGGAGUCAGAUUCGAAUCUGUCUGCAACUUGGUAAAAGAUCAAGAUAGCGACCUGUCUAUUAUAGGGAAAUUUAUGAUAUCAAAGCUCUUUAUACCUGUUUUUGUUCGUAACAUGCCUACGUACGUGUCAAACUCCUUUCGCUCGCAACAUGCCGUAUAGUAGUGAAAAAGACGAUCAACUCCUAAUGUAUAGAGUGAAAGACGGAACAUUAUACGUGUAAAGCUACAAA
rnacentral:lncRNA from 1 species